GGGCGCGCAGGCCCCGUGUCGGUCUUUUCGGCCCGCGGUGGCGGUUGAGGGGCGCUCGAGCGGCGCCCUCCACGCGGGUGGUUUAAGAUGCAUCAACUACACUCUUCCCUAUUCUGGCUGCAAAACAGGUCUGCCACCAAAUACAGAGACUUGAUGCUACUUCACAAGGAUUUGCAUUGUGCCCUUGGAAGACUUGGAGAAGAAACAUCACCUGGCACUGGAGGAUGAAGCUGUAAGCUGUGCAAGGCUGCCCUGGGCAGAAGAUACCUGUGCCUCUAGUGUGUCACAAGCUAUUUCACCUCUUGAUGAUGAUGCUGAAGAUGAGGCCUUCCUAAUUGAAGGAUUCCAAAGUUUCUCAUUGCAACGUGCGGUACAGCUGUGAAGUGGUUUGGUUGGUAGCUGCUGCCAGCACAAAGUGAAGCUUGUGGGGAGUUUGUGUGAGAAACAAGAAUAACUUAUGUCUGAGGAGAGGACUGCUGUCUGCAACCUCAUUGGGUGAGGAGGCAACUUGGAAACUACUGUAUGAAGAACUGAGAAGGUAGAAGAUUGCAGAAUAAUGGGUUACACUGGCAUGAACAUCACUUACAAAAGCCAAGGUUUUCUUACCACACUGGUAAUGUUUGCCUGGUACUGAUUGGAACCAAUAAAUACUUGUAAACUCUA